rnacentral:lncRNA from 1 species
GAGAUGAAGAUGGUGGAGGAUAGGGAGGAGGUGGAGGAAGGGAUCAAGGGAGUGAGGGAGGAUCGAGGGAGGUAGGAGAUGACCCAAGGUUGUUUUUUUUUUAAAUAUUAUUAUUUUAUAAUUUUUUUAAUAUUCACGUGGGUCCGUAUUGACACGCGGUGCCCAAUCAUUGUCCACGUGGAUGUCACGUCACCAGUUAACAGCUGAUUUAACAGCAACUUUAACGGAUGUAUGAAAGUGUCCCAAAAUUAUGACUUCAGGUACCACUUUGGGAUGAAAAAAACUUCAUGUAUCAAAUGUUAAAAACUAAGAAACUUAAGGGUAGUAAACUAAGAGUAACCCUUUUAUUUAAUACCAUGUAACUUCUUUCUACAUCCAAUUUAAAUUUUAAAUAUUAAUUGUGUUUUUUUAUUUUCUUGCAUAAUUAUCAUCAAGUACAAGAUGAAAUUAAUAAUAAAACUACAAUUUAUCAAUAAACUCACACAUUAUAAUCAAGGUUCUAAAAGACGCUAUGCGCUAGUCUGGCCGUUGGUUGGGGCCUAACGCCUAGGUGGCUAGGCGGAUUUAAGUAAUAAAUCAUAUAAAUUUACUAUAUUUACUAUAUAACAUAUGAAAAAACAUUGAAUAAUACAUUAUUUUUUUAAAUAAGGAAUACAUAUGCAUGUAUGUAUAUAAAAUUUUAGACUUUCUAAAUUAGUUUUGUAUCAUUUUAGAAAAGCUCAUAUUGAUGGGCCUUUAUUCUCAUUAAUAAAAGUCAAGAAGGUCGGCCUUUUCAUUGUUGUUUUAAUAUAUUACUAACAUUUGCCUACACAUUUUGUGUGUAUGAACACAUUUUUUUAGAAAAUGAGAAGGAGAGGGAGAGGGAGAGAACAUGGGGGAAUGGGAGGUUUUUGUUUUUGGUUUUCAUUUUUUUUUUUUGGAAAAAUUAGUAUCCGGUCCCUAGUUCUUACUGUUCAUUGACUAAGACCUUAUUAGUUCUCAAAUUUUGAUUCAAGUCCCUAUCAUUAAUGUGAUAAUGAAUUUACAUGUUUAUUAUAUAAUUUUUUAAUAUAAAAAUUAGUAAUUAAU